rnacentral:rRNA from 1 species
UACGUAGGGACCAAGCGUUGUUCGGAUUUACUGGGCGUAAAGGGCGCGUAGGCGGCUUUGCAAGUGGCGGGUGAAAUCCCUCGGCUUAACCGAGGAACUGCCUGCCAGACUGUGAGGCUUGAGACCGGGAGAGGUGAGUGGAAUUCCCAGUGUAGCGGUGAAAUGCGUAGAGAUGUGGAGGAACACCAGUGGCGAAGGCGACUCUUUGGCCUGUAACUGACGCUGAGGCGCGAAAGCGUGGGGAGCGAACAGG